rnacentral:rRNA from 1 species
UACGUAGGGUGCGAGCGUUGUCCGGAAUUAUUGGGCGUAAAGAGCUUGUAGGCGGUUUGUCGCGUCUGCCGUGAAAAUCCGGGGCUCAACCCCGGACUUGCGGUGGGUACGGGCAGACUAGAGUGUGGUAGGGGAGACUGGAAUUCCUGGUGUAGCGGUGAAAUGCGUAGAUAUCGGAAGGAACACCGAUGGCGAAAGCAGCGUGCUGGACCUUUUCUGACGCUGAGACACGAAAGCGUGGGUAGCAAACAGG